UGUGGGAGGGGGCUUGCCCCCGAUGGCGGUGUGUCAGCUGAAAAUGUAUUGGCUGAUCUACUGCUAUCGGGGGCAAGCCCCCUCCCACA
rnacentral:misc_RNA from 1 species